UACGAAGGGUGCAAGCGUUACUCGGAAUUACUGGGCGUAAAGGGUGCGUAGGUGGUUUGUUAAGUCUGCUGUGAAAUCCCCGGGCUCAACCUGGGAAUGGCAGUGGAUACUGGCAAGCUAGAGUGCGGUAGAGGGUAGUGGAAUUCCCGGUGCAGCAGUGAAAUGCGUAGAUAUCGGGAAGAACACCAAAGGCGAAAGCACUUUGCUGGGCCGAAACUGACACUGAUAGACGAAAGCUAGGGGAGCAAAUGGG
rnacentral:rRNA from 1 species